rnacentral:misc_RNA from 1 species
GAUGAAGAACGUAGCGAAAUGCGAUAAGUAAUGUGAAUUGCAGAAUUUAGUGAAUCAUCGAAUCUUUGAACGCACAUUGCGCCCUCUGGCAUUCCGGAGGGCACACCUGUUCGAGCGCCGUUUCAAACCUAAGGCUCUGCCUUGCGAUGGCGCGGUCCGGCGCGAGCCGGAGCGCCGAAACCCAGCGACGCGGUCGGCGGCUAGCACAGAGCACAAUCUGCGGCGAAGUCGAGCGGCGGCAGUCGAAGCUACGAAAAAUUUGGCCUCGGAUCAGGUGGGGAUACCCGCUGAACUUAAGCAUAUCAAUAAGCGGAGGA